rnacentral:rRNA from 1 species
GACGAACGCUGGCGGCGUGCUUAACACAUGCAAGUCGAACGGAAAGGCCCUGCUUUUGUGGGGUGCUCGAGUGGCGAACGGGUGAGUAACACGUGAGUAACCUGCCCUUGACUUUGGGAUAACUUCAGGAAACUGGGGCUAAUACCGGAUAGGAGCUCCUGCUGCAUGGUGGGGGUUGGAAAGUUUCGGCGGUUGGGGAUGGACUCGCGGCUUAUCAGCUUGUUGGUGGGGUAGUGGCUUACCAAGGCUUUGACGGGUAGCCGGCCUGAGAGGGUGACCGGCCACAUUGGGACUGAGAUACGGCCCAGACUCCUACGGGAGGCAGCAGUGGGGAAUAUUGCACAAUGGGCGGAAGCCUGAUGCAGCAACGCCGCGUGCGGGAUGACGGCCUUCGGGUUGUAAACCGCUUUCGCCUGUGACGAAGCGUGAGUGACGGUAAUGGGUAAAGAAGCACCGGCUAACUACGUGCCAGCAGCCGCGGUGAUACGUAGGGUGCGAGCGUUGUCCGGAUUUAUUGGGCGUAAAGGGCUCGUAGGUGGUUGAUCGCGUCGGAAGUGUAAUCUUGGGGCUUAACCCUGAGCGUGCUUUCGAUACGGGUUGACUUGAGGAAGGUGGGGGAGAAUGGAAUUCCUGGUGGAGCGGUGGAAUGCGCAGAUAUCAGGAGGAACACCAGUGGCGAAGGCGGUUCUCUGGGCCUUUCCUGACGCUGAGGAGCGAAAGCGUGGGGAGCGAACAGGCUUAGAUACCCUGGUAGUCCACGCUGUAAACGGUGGGUACUAGGUGUGGGGUCCAUUCCACGGGUUCCGUGCCGUAGCUAACGCUUUAAGUACCCCGCCUGGGGAGUACGGCCGCAAGGCUAAAACUCAAAGGAAUUGACGGGGCCCCGCACAAGCGGCGGAGCAUGCGGAUUAAUUCGAUGCAACGCGUAGAACCUUACCUGGGUUUGACAUGGAUCGGGAGCGCUCAGAGAUGGGUGUGCCUCUUUUGGGGUCGGUUCACAGGUGGUGCAUGGCUGUCGUCAGCUCGUGUCGUGAGAUGUUGGGUUAAGUCCCGCAACGAGCGCAACCCUUGUUCACUGUUGCCAGCACGUUAUGGUGGGGACUCAGUGGAGACCGCCGGGGUCAACUCGGAGGAAGGUGGGGAUGACGUCAAGUCAUCAUGCCCCUUAUGUCCAGGGCUUCACGCAUGCUACAAUGGCUGGUACAGAGAGUGGCGAGCCUGUGAGGGUGAGCGAAUCUCGGAAAGCCGGUCUCAGUUCGGAUUGGGGUCUGCAACUCGACCUCAUGAAGUCGGAGUCGCUAGUAAUCGCAGAUCAGCAACGCUGCGGUGAAUACGUUCCCGGG